UAGACAUCUGGUGUAUCUUUCAUGGA
rnacentral:piRNA from 1 species